rnacentral:ncRNA from 1 species
UCCACUGUGAGGUGGAAUCUGAAGGAAGCUGGCGGCAAAGUUCCGGCCCGAGGAAUACGAAUACUAUCAGGCAAAAGCUGUGUGGACGAGCUUGCAAGACAAAGCGAAAUCCAAUGAUUACACGGACACAGCAUUGUAAAUGGUGCGGGUAGAUGGAAUGAAGGUUUAUCGU